rnacentral:rRNA from 1 species
UUUGGUAAUUAUCACUUAGAGGAAAUAACCAUUCUCAUUUUCAACAGGUAGAUUAAAUUCUAAUGUGCUGAUGGUAGUGUAGAGAUUCCUCUGUGGAAGAAUAAGUUAUUACCAGAC